rnacentral:tRNA from 1 species
CCUCCUUUCUAAGGAUAAAUGAUAAUUAGUUCGCUAAUUAUCCGGGUUGUUGUCUAUGUAUCUCUUCAUUUAGGUAGCUAGUGCUAUAUGUUUCCUAACAUAACCUGGGCUAGUAGCUCAGUUGGUUAGAGCGCGCGCUUGAUAAGCGUGAGGUCGGAGGUUCGAGUCCUCCCUGGCCCACCAUUUUUUUUGGGGGAUUAGCUCAGCUGGGAGAGCGCCUGAUUUGCAUUCAGGAGGUCAGCGGUUCGAUCCCGCUAUCCUCCACCAUAAACUAGUUACCUGUCUUAUUUGUUCUUUAAAUUGUGAAUAUGAAACUAAUAACUGAUCAAAUAAUUAUAAUUAAAAUAACUUUAUUGCGUACAUAAAAUUUUUCUCUGUACGUAAUUGAAAUCAAGCGCAAAAGGGCAUUUAGUGGAUGCCUUGGCAUCAAGAGACGAUGAAGGAC